rnacentral:misc_RNA from 1 species
UACGAGAGGUGCUAGCGUUAUUCGGAAUUACUGGGCGUAAAGGGUGCGUAGACGGUAAGAUAAGUCAAUUGUUAAAUUUUCCGGCCUAACCGGAAGUCAGCGGUAGAAACUAUCUUGCUUGAGGGUGGAAGAGAGAAGUGGAAUUCUCGGAGUAGCGGUAAAAUGCGUAGAUCUCGAGAGGAACACCGAUGGCGAAAGCAGCUUCUUGGUCCAUUCCUGACGUUGAGGCACGAACGCGUGGGGAGCAAACAGG